UAAACACGUACUUCGGAUAUCUUGCCAUAUUGAAUCUAAAAUAAUAGGUUGUUCCUUGGAAGAAAUCCACGCACGGCAAGACAAUUAAUAAUUCUUCCACUCUAGAUUGUUCUGAACACGAUCGAAAAUACUGGGCCUUAUUCUCGUAUACACUUCACGCUGAAAGCGAAGUGAAGUGUAUCCACGAUGACAAUGGUGCAGUGUCGACAUCUGGAUACGAAAUUAGUUUUCCACUAAAUUCGAGUAAUUUUUCGAGUUUUUUGGUUUGCUUGUUCUAUUUUUUUUUAUAAAUUCGUUUAUUUUUACAGGCUCAGUUGCAUAAGUUUAAAGGAGCCGAAAUCUUAAAUAUAUUUUUAAAACUAUAUAUAUGAACAAUUUUCUUAAAUCUAUGGUUAGUAAUGUGGGAAACCGAUUACUCGCGGUGAACUCGAGAUUAGAAGGGUGACAUAUUUUUCUCAGGAAAAGGAUGGGGUAUAAGGAAAUUAUUACAAUGUUGAUAAUCACACACACUCAAUUCUUAAAUCUAUUCGUACAUCUAUUGUGAAUUUACAUUUCAUUCUCCUGUUUAUAGCAAGCGGACCAAUUACUCAUAAAGGAAGAAAUGGAGGGUAUAAGGAUAUAAGGAUAAUCACACACGAACAUCGAUAGAUUUAAGGAAAACAUAUAUUUGGGACAUGUAAUCAAGGUCUAACCGAGCCAACACAUCUCUCACCGGCACAUUGGGCUGCCUUCCUCUAGCCCGAAGGGAGUUCUCUAAAUUCGAUCUGGCAACAAGAUACACCUCACACGACCAAACAACGUGUUCGAUGUCGUGGUAACCUCGGCCACAAACGCAGAUAUUGCUGCCGGCCAGAUUGAAACGAAAGAGUAGCGCGUCUAACGAACAGUGAUUGGACAUGAGUCGAGAAAAGGUGCGAAUAAAGUCCCGACUCAAGUCCAGACUUUUGAACCAUGGUUUAAGGCUAACCUUAGGGAUAAUCGAGUGGAGCCACCGGCCCAAUUCACCUUCGUUGCUUGUUCUAUGAUUUCAGUUAAUUAUUUUGUUUUGGUUUGCGUCCCUUAUAUUUCUAUUUGGGAAACAUUUCAGAAACGCUCAACACGUUGACUGAUGGUAAAGGUAGAAAUUUAUUUAUUUUUCUUCGCAGAAAUUUCACUGCUUUCGAGCAGAAACACCUUUUUAUGAUAAACGAUGGUCCUAAUACGUUCGAAAAUCUCCAUCGAGGAAAUUAUUACUUUCCAGUAUUGCGCUUCGCAUUACUGUACUACGAUAUCAGUACGUGGCCUGAUGGGAAAGUUGCUAUAAAACCGCGUGGCACUCAACGUGUUAAAUAUAUGCAAUUGAAACACAUGGAAUUCGAGCUCGGUUAGAGAUUACGAGAUUUUGCUCGGUGUGAUAGUGCUUGUAUCGACUUCUCGAUUCGAUUUAUAUAAUAGGGCCCUUAAUUUUUGAUGCAUCGAACCUAAGCCCAAUUAUCCCUUCUUCGUGUUUCAGUCUGGUAUACAGAUUGAGAAGACCGCUUACACUUUAGCUUGAGCUUGGGUAGAUUGUACAAUUCGUAGUUGCUCUCCGUGAUUGACCUGAACCAACAAAAUUGCACAAACAACACACAGAAUGGCGCUUGGGACUAGCAAAUCAUUCUCGUUGUGCAAUUUUCGGUGAUUCGAACUUUAAAUGGUCAAUAACGACGCCGGCCACGUCCUUACAGUCACCAGGGGAAGGGAAGGAAUGUUAGUAUGAUAUUCGCCGCCCGAAGGCCAGAAGGGUCGCCUCUAUAGCGUGGUUAAGAAAAAUCAGGAUUCACUGCGGUAAGUGAUGUGAUUCUAAAAACGCGAACUCUCAACUUUUCGGCGAAAUGAAAUUUGAAGAAAAUAUACAUUCUUAUCGCUCAUACUGUUUAUAUAACUCCAACCGCGACGACGGAAGGUUAUCUUGGGACAACCUGAGAAGGUCACCGAGAGAAUUCCUCUUUCUAUAACUAUCGCUAUCGAAAGAGGCGUAUUUUCGGGAAUCAUAAAAAGGUCAACGAGAGAACUUGGAAAUCCUAACAAGGUCACCGAUAAAACUCCUAAAAAUCAGAUCGACAAUAUAUUGUUCAAUCCGCGCAUGCUUUAUAUAACUCCAAUCAUGGCGAUGGAGAACUAUCUUUGGGAAUCCUGAGAAGGGCACUCAUUAGCUGUUCAAUCUCUAUAUAUAUAAAAAUGUUCUGUUCGUUUGUGUACGCGUCAAAAACUCGAAAAAUACGGAACCGAUAGAGCUCAAAGUUGUACACAAUAUACAAUCCACUUCAAGGAGUGUUGUUACGGCAUAAAAAUUGUAAAAUUGGAAGAAAGAUGAUUUUAUAUAUGACCAGAGUGCGUUUCUGAAAUUGAGCUUCUAAUGAAAAUCGACUAUUCAGUAAUGAAUAUGUGUUCUAUGUGAAGGAAACAUCUUUUUUCCUAGUGUUUGGCAAAAUCAUGAACUGAAAUUGUGUUUCGGAGUGAUUUAAAAUUCAUCGAUUCCCCUCAUCUAUCUGUAUAUAUAUAAAAGUUUUCUGUUCGUUUGUGUACGCGUCAAAAACUCGAAAAAUACGGAACCGAUAGAGCUCAAAGUUGUACACAAUAUACAAUCCACUUCAAGGAGUGUUGUUACGGCAUAAAAAUUGUAAAAUUGGAAGAAAGAUGAUUUUAUAUAUGACCAGAGUGCGUUUCUGAAAUUGAGCUUCUAAUGAAAAUCGACUAUUCAGUAAUGAAUAUGUGUUCUAUGUGAAGGAAACAUCUUUUUUCCAAGUGUUUGGCAAAAUCAUGAACUGAAAUUGUGUUUCGGAGUGAUUUAAAAUUCAUCGAUUCCCCUCAUCUAUCUGUAUAUAUAUAAAAGUUUUCUGUUCGUUUGUGUACGCGUCAAAAACUCGAAAAAUACGGAACCGAUUGAGCUCAAAGUUGUACACAAUAUACAAUCCACUUCAAGGAGUGUUGUUACGGCAUAAAAAAUUGGAAAAUUGGAAGAAAAAUGAUUUUAUAUAUGACCAGAGUGCGUUUCUGAAAUUAAGCUUCUAAUGAAAAUCGACUAUUCAGUAAUGAAUAUGUGUUCUAUGUGAAGGAAACAUCUUUUUUCCAAGUGUUUGGCAAAAUCAUGAACUGAAAUUUAAAAUUCAUCGAUUCCCCUCAUCUACCUCACCUAUGCAACUACAAUGUGCCACAGCAAAGCGUGGCAGGGUACAGCUAGUAUCUACAUAAAUAUCUACUUAAUAUACACACACUGACGAACAUGAAACUCUCUCCAAACCAACAUGUCAUCAGAAAAAACAUUCAAAAGAAUCUGGUACCGAAAUUGAGAAGACCGCUUUACACUUGCACUACAUUAAAAAGAUGAGGGUCACACCGCACUUACUCGAUGUAUCUUAUCUAGCAUGGUUCGUUCUGGGUCGUUGCUGUCAUCGGCUGACCGGGGCUGCAUGUUUUAGCUGAAGUUCUCUGAAGGAGCCGUCUCCAGGUGCCUUUCCGACUUUAUUUAGAGUGCAAUGUUCAAAACUUUGUACAUAACUUACGGAGAAAACGUUUUCCUCUUAGCCGCAGUUCGUGACGCUUACUGCUGUUACUGUUUUUUUUCGACAUUCAUUCUGACAAAAAAAUUCCACGAGCACCUCAAAUAUGACGGUUCCACCAGAGGAAUCAAAAUCACCAAUACUUGCUUUUCGCUCCGGUGACAGUUAUCCCCACACAUUAAAAACAAGACAUUGUAUUUCUGACAAUAUACAACCAGUGUUGCUACAAGUACAGAUUUAUAAGGAAAGGUAUAGAUUUUUUCAUUUUUCUUGAUACAGAUUCUGUACGGUACAGGUUACAAAUUUGUAUAGUGUAAAAUUUUAAAGGUUUCUUGCUGAGUGGUAUUAUUUCAAAUCACUAUGGAAACUCCCUUCAAAAUGAAUGAAAACAGAACGAUGCGUGAAUUUACAGUUCUCCAACUCACGACCGCAUUGACUCUUGCCAAGUCCUGCUCCACCUGAUCCCACCAUCUCGCUCGCUGGGCUCCUCUCUUUCUUUUUCCUACCGGAUUCGAUGCUAACACCAUCCUUGCAGGGCUGCUGUCCGGCAAUCUCGCCACAUGCCCUGCCUAUCGCACUCGUCCAGCCUUGGCGAAUUUUUGGAUAUUGGGUUCACCGUAGAUUUGCACCAGUUCGUGGUUCAUUCUCCUUCUCCAUACUCAAUGUUCCACAAUGUACACCACCAUAUACACUCUGUCCAACUUCUAUAAGACACUCUGAUUAUAUGACAAACAGUUAUAAUUUCAACAAGAUACAUUCAUACAUUGUAGAAUACUUAAGAUAAAAUAUAUUUAACGUCAAUUUCGUUUAAAAGAGUUGUUUGUUUAUUUAUUGUGCUUAAAUAUGAUAAUUUCAGCUGACCAGUUUCUAUAAGACCAUUUCAUAAUUCAUAAGUAUUAUCAAUCAAAACUUCAACACUAUUGCCUGAUUUACAUGUCAAUAAUUGGCAACUUUGCCAUUUCCUUUGCUGUUCCUACUUCCGUAAAUCACGCCAGUACUCGUUGAAACCUGUUGAAGCCAUCAGGACCAUCCAAAUUGAACUUUUUGACGUAGAACUACGUCUUUCAGGAAGGGUGCCAAAUCAGAAAACAGGUCACGUUUUCAUGAAAUAAAUUUAACGUUAACAGCUAUUUUCACUGUGAACGAAUUCUGCCAGUUCCUCUGGGAAUUUAAAAUUACAUUCAUAUGAAAGAGUUUAUUUUAAUGUUUUCUAUCCAUGUAACACUGUGACCAAAUACAUUAGGUUUUGUGAUUUUUCAAUCAAUCGCAAUCAACAGGAUAGCUUCUAAAGAUUAUUCUUCCCCAUCAGUAGGAUAUUUCCGUAUCCAAUAUUGGAUGCAUAAAACCUUGUGCCUCCAACGUAAUGCUCUCGUUUUCGAAGUUCUCCAAAUAUUCAUUCAUUCAGAAUGAAUUCAGAUUCAACUUCAUACAAAUGAUCUCUAAAUCAACGAUAGUCCUACGUCACCCUUGCGGUUAUACCAUAGAUAUAACCCACUUCCUGUUUUUUAGCAGAUCGGAAAGAUGUUUGCAUCAAUUGAUAGGAAAUAUUUCUACGCGUCUAUCACAAUUAAUAAAAUGUUAUUUUUCAUGAGAUGAAUAAUUGAAUAACUGUAAAAUGUCAAGCGUUAUCUAGGCGCCCCAGGUGCCAAGUUUUGAUUGACCCGAUUCACGGUUUCCCCAACACAGACUUCUAAAUCGAUGUACCUGUGGAAACCCGCUUUGCAAAUAUACAUGCAGGUCGGGAGUAUUUUUGUUCCCACCGAGCUGUGUUUCCCUAACACGGACUUCAAAAUCAAUGUGCCUGGGGAAAUCCGCUUUGUCAAAACAUGCAAGUCGGAGGUAUUUUUUCCCACUGAGCUGUGUUUUCCUAACACAGAUUUCAAAAUUAAUGUGCCUGGGGGAAUCCGCUUUGCAAAUACAUGCAAAUCGGGGAUAUUUUUUGAUGUUGAGUACUUUUGUACUCGCUUAUCGUUUUGCAGACCGGAAUAUGUUCUCCUAAAACGUGCUUUUAAACUGAAAAGCCUGAGAAAAUCGUCAUUCCAAACAGUGUUGUAAACGGUCGACAUUUCUCUCAACCAUCACAUACUAUUCUUGCGCGAGAGUCACGGCUCAAUAUGUAUUGCGAAUGUGACCAAGAAUGCAUUGCUCGGUUCCAACAGUCACCUCAGAAAUAAACGCACAGCCGCAAACAUGACUAUCAAUUGAACGUUUAUAUAUUCUCUCUUUCUGUCGAACGUACCCAGAAGAGCGGUGAAAAUAUGCUAUUUCCAUUCUACGAUUCGUGCUCAUAACCAUCCUUUAAUCCCGGCUAAUAUGACUAUAGUUUUAAUGUCUAUAACCUUUUUAGCUCUCUUUAUGUAAGGACUUUUUACCGAAAUUGCCCCCCGUGAUACAUUUGAAUUCAAAGUUUGCUUUAUUUGCAUAAAGGAUUUUGAAGUAUUCGAAGCUGUUUUAAUUAUUUCCCGCUUAUCCUGGUCAGAGAGCUUCAAUUUGCCUGGAGCUCUCUAAUUUUUACUAUAUCCUUGAAGAUUCGUCAAAUAAUUGAGAACUACUUGAUGGGAUCGUCCAAUCCGACGAGCAAUUUCUCCAAUUCGUUGGAAUUAGGUUAAAUGCAUCGGUUUGUCCUUUUUCGCUAUCCGUGUGCACUUUUCCAUUCGGCAUUUUCUAAAUUUAUUAAUCAAACUUACUUAAAAACAAGGAAAACUUAACUGAACUUAUAGAAACAUUUGACAUUUGAAAAAUACAAAAACAUAUGUUUACGCUCAACGCUUGCACACACAUAUGAAAAUCAUGCAGUGUAUGAUAGUUACCAAUACAAAUACACUAGAAUGUAAAUUGAAGCAUUGUUUGUUUACAAUGACACAAAGCAGCAAGAUCAUCACCUGGUCUUAUAGAAGUUGGACAGAGUGUAUUGUUCAGAGCACUCGGCUUUCGAAAAUACCAAGUGCUUGUGAAGCCCAAUCAGCCCUGCUUCGUGUUUCAGUUGGGUAUACAAGUCGGCUUCCGUCGCAUGUGCUCUUCCGAUUAUGUCCACGUCGUCGGUGAAGCAGAUAAACUGAUUAGACUUUUUGAAAAUCGUGCCCCGCAUGUUGAAGCCCGCUCUCCGCAUAACACCUUCCAGCGCCACAUUGGAGAGUAGACAGGAGAGUCCAUCGCUUUGUCGAAGUCCCAUGUGAGUCUCAAAUGACUCCGACAGCUCACCUGAGAUUCGCACACCGUUCAUCGUUGCCUGAAUCAGUCUUGUCAGCUUUCGGCGAAAGCCGUGUUCGUCCAUGAUUCUUCAUAGCUGUCGUCCAUCGAUUGUAUCAUGUGAGGCCUCGAAGUCAACGAAGAUGUUGUGCGUAGGGACUAGAGAUGUGCCAUCCGCUCAUGAGCUGUUCAUUCGAAUCGCUUCAUCGUAGUGAGUGGAUUCGGAUCGGCUCGCAAUCAAAACAACGCAGCUCAUCAGCUCAUUACGGAGCUGGAAAGCUGAUGAGCUGUUGAGCUGAUGAGCUGAUGAGCUGCAGAGCUGUUGAGCUGAUGAGCUGCAUAGCUGUGGAGCGCAAAAGCAGCAGAGAGUGUGAAUUUUGAGACGCAGAAGAAUUUUUCGUCUCCCGCGCUUUAUGAUAUGACGUCAGUUUGUUUUCGUGUAUCCAUCUUCGUUCUUUAGCUUUAGCAGAGAUGCCAGAGAGGAAAAAGGUUUUUGUUUUGAAGAUAUUCAAUCGUUCCAUUAAUUUUUUUCUUACAUCGCCAAACAAAAUAAUAAAAAUUAUUAUAUGCUUGUAAAUGGAUUUACUAUAUUAUAUUGUUAUUUUUAAAUAACAUGAAUGUUAAAACACAUAAAUUUAUUUCCGCGUGCUGAAUCAAAACAAUUCAGAAAACUACCCGCCAUAAAUGCUGGUGAUUGAUAAUGGUCCUUUUGUUACCUUUAUCAUGGCGAAGAAUUGUUUCUCGUUGCGCCUAUUAAUGGAUUUAUUUUUAUAUACUUGGAUGCAAAAAAAAAUAUCUCGGUAGUUUUAUCAAAAAACGUUGUGUCAGCCAAUAUUUCUGAAGGCAUUUUAUUUGGCUACUGCUGGUUCAUCUGUUGUUUAAGUUCAGCAUAUCCUAAGCAUCUUCUAUGUUGGAUUUCAGCAUUCAAUAUUUGUUGUAUAUUAUAUUACUAGAAUCCAUAUUAAAUUUAGUUUGUGUACAAUUGCAAAUUAAAUUCGUUUAUUUUUCUGAUUUCCGUCUAUUAAGAAAAUGAACACUAUAAAAUGUCCCAUGGUAGUUAUGCAGUUGUGUGGACAGCCGCAAAAUUCAAUUGAGCUGAAGAGCUGUUCCGAAUGAGCAGCUCACUUGUAUGAGCUGGACGGCUCUGAGCCGCUCACCAUGAUGAGCUGAUUUGCCCAUCUCUAGUAGGGACCUGAUACUCGCGGCACUUUUGGAGGGUCUGCCGCAGUGUAAAAAUCUGGUCCACCGUCGAUCAACCGGGCAUGGAUCCGGCCUGAUAACUUCCCACAAAUCUACUUACUAUUGGCGAUAGAAGGCGAAAGAGGACCUGAGACAGAAUUUUGUAGUCACCAUUCAGGAUUGUGAUGGCACGAUAGUUCCUACCAAGACGGGUCUAUGGUACUAGGUGAGGCCGUUUCGUCACUAAGUUGGUUAGGGGAGCGGUAUAUGAAAACAGUACGGAAGAAAGCAGAAGGGGAAUUAUUUGCUUGUAGCGUGAAAGAGACAGACUGAUCACGAGCGAGCUUCGGCACUAGCGUAUUGUGUUUUGUUUACAAACAAAGCACAGUAGACUUCCAAGAUGGCUGAAGAGUGGUUCUAGCAAGUUGGCCCACCUUAGGAUAUACCAAGACGGGUCUAUGGUACUAGGUGAGGCCGUUUCGUCACUAAGUUGGUGUUACGGACAGCUGAGGCUUAUCGCGAAUCGAGUUAGAGAUCCAUAAGAUAAGCACUAUUUAAGAUUAUAUUUAGAAAAGACCUCCAAGCGAGGUAUAGAAACGUUUAGAAAGGACCAAUGUAAGGCAAUUAAAAGAUGUAAGAGCUCAAGUGUUUUGUUAGGCUAGAAAACGCUUGUAGUUCGAAAUUAUUGCCGGUCAUAAAUUCAGAAUGGACGAAUAUUUAAAUAGCGUCCGGUAAACAAUUUAAUGCAUGCAUCAUUUAGGAUGCAUUUUUAUUACCCUUUUCCAUCCCUAGCUGCGCUCAGCCAGAUACACCAGCAGGGUGUAAUAAAAUAAAAGGAUGUUAUUUAGAGCGAAGGAUGGAAAGGGGAAAUCCAAGAAUAAGAUAGGCGCACCGACGAGGUGCUAUAAACUUAAGGUAUUUUCUUAGGGUAGUGCAGCCGUCUCAGACUGCACGUUACCAUACGCUAGAAGAAGGGACAAGGAAGGUAGAUGAUCUAAACGAAACCGAUAUGUUAUCGGUUUUCAAGAGAGAGAGAGGAGAUGUUCCUCGUCAAUCUUAGUUUAAGGAACCAUGUAUAUAUUGUGAAACUUUUGAAUAAAUUUUUUAGUAUUGUAACAGAA